rnacentral:rRNA from 1 species
AGAUUGAACGCUGCGGCAGGCCUAACACAUGCAAGUCGAGCGGCAGCCGGGAAGUAGCUUGCUACUUUGCCGGCGAGCGGCGGACGGGUGAGUAAUGUCUGGGAAACUGCCUGAUGGAGGGGGAUAACUACUGGAAACGGUAGCUAAUACCGCAUGACCUCGCAAGAGCAAAGUGGGGGACCUUCGGGCCUCACGCCAUCGGAUGUGCCCAGAUGGGAUUAGCUAGUAGGUGAGGUAAUGGCUCACCUAGGCGACGAUCCCUAGCUGGUCUGAGAGGAUGACCAGCCACACUGGAACUGAGACACGGUCCAGACUCCUACGGGAGGCAGCAGUGGGGAAUAUUGCACAAUGGGCGCAAGCCUGAUGCAGCCAUGCCGCGUGUGUGAAGAAGGCCUUAGGGUUGUAAAGCACUUUCAGCGAGGAGGAAGGGUUCAGUGUUAAUAGCACUGUGCAUUGACGUUACUCGCAGAAGAAGCACCGGC